rnacentral:lncRNA from 1 species
GAAACUGUUUAUGCGAGUAGUUUUCAAUUUCUGAUAAAUUGCAGAGCAAAAUUCCUUUUUAUUUCGUGAACAUACUUUUGCUGACAGAUCAUGUUAUCCAAAGUAUACUAAUCUUUGUUGCAAGACUUUGCUGAAUGAUCAUACUGGCUUGUAGUUUCACUGGUACACCACAGGUAAUAGCUUACUAUAGGAUGAGGGUUCAAGAGUCGGCGGAGACAUGGAGUCAUUGUGAUUUGUGCCCAUUUAAAUACCAGUUGUUGACCAUUUAUAUAAUAUAAAAACGAAUUUUCUAUGGUGUGCCCAUGGGCACACACUAGUCACUAACUCUCAUGAGAAUACUACAUUUUGAUUGGUGGAUUAGUAAUAAAUGUUAAUGGCCCCCCUGCAUUCACACCAAUUCCACCAAUCAAAACAAGCCAUUUUCCUAAAAGUUCGUGCUUAUUGUGUGCCCUUGGGCACACAUUAGAAAGACCGAUAUAAAAAUGGUUAGCAGGAUGUUUUGUGUAUAAUAUACUGACCUUAAUGCUGUUUGUUGGUUGCAGAAUCACUAGGACAUGCUUCAGCAGUGUCCAUUCUUCUG